GUCACUGGAGUCACACCUUUGAAAGAGACCCUGGGACCCUGGCUCCUUCUUCUACCUCUUUGUUUCCUGGCUGCCAUGAGAUGAGCUUCCCAGUAAAGGAGGCCUGGAUGCAUGGAUUUCCUGACAAUAUCGACUCAAUACCUUUCCUGUUGUUGCAGUGAGAAAGGAUACAUAACAUGAGGUCUACCCUACAACUUCUAACUGCACACUACGGGAUAAACUAGAAACACACCUACAGAGUCAAAGCCUCAGCAGUUCCUCCAACCCAGACACUCUCCACCUUGGGCCCUGCUGGAGUUUGAGCCAAGGAAGUUUUUGCAGUAGGUAUUGACCUGGCAUUGAAGAAUAUUUAGCAACAUCCCAGCAUCUACCUACCGGAUGCCGGUAGCACACACACCAGUUGUGACAACCACAACUGUCUCUAGACACCGCUGAACACUUGGAGAGUUCCCGUGCCUGGUCCACCCGGUCCCCCUUUCCCCAGCCCCCACUCAGACCAAUCAGCAUCUUCGGAACUAGAACCCGUGCACCUGCACUGUGGACACCGCUCAGGGACCUCAUGGGGCAGCCACAGCUGAGAGCCUCUGUCCUGAAACCACAGCCUAAAACUGUGAUAGAGCUUCUUAAGGUGUUUCUCAAAUAUUUGGGUGCUGGCCCCUCCACUUAGCGGCGUGAGCAACCGCAACAGCAACAUAGAAAUGAUGUUGGUGGUUACAUCAAGGACAGUCCGUGGAGUUUGCAGCCCGGGGUGGUCACGAGAAGGUGAGGGAGAUGAACUACGUUGCAUGUGGAAAAUCACCUAGAAAGGCCUCCAAAAGGAACAAGCAAAAAUGAGUGUUUUACCUGUAAAAGGGACAUGAGCAAAAUUAAUGGG